UGGGGAAUUUUGGACAAUGGGCGCAAGCCUGAUCCAGCAAUGCCGCGUGCAGGAUGAAGGCCUUCGGGUUGUAAACUGCUUUUGUACGGAACGAAACGGCUCUGGUUAAUACCUGGGGCUAAUGACGGUACCGUAAGAAUAAGCACCGGCUAACUACGUGCCAGCAGCCGCGGUAAUACGUAGGGUGCAAGCGUUAAUCGGAAUUACUGGGCGUGAAGCGUGCGCAGGCGGUGAUGUAAGACAGUUGUGAAAUCCCCGGGCUCAACCUGGGAACUGCAUCUGCGACUGCAUCGCUGGAGUGCGGCAGAGGGGGAUGGAAUUCCGCGUGUAGCAGUGAAAUGCGUAGAUAUGCGGAGGAACACCGAUGGCGAAGGCAAUCCCCUGGGCCUGCACUGACGCUCAUGCACGAAAGCGUGGGGAGCAAACA
rnacentral:rRNA from 1 species